GAUGAACGCUAGCUACAGGCUUAACACAUGCAAGUCGAGGGGAAACGACAUCGAAAGCUUGCUUUUGAUGGGCGUCGACCGGCGCACGGGUGAGUAACGCGUAUCCAACCUGCCCAUCACUUGGGAAUAACCUUGCGAAAGUAAGACUAAUACCCAAUGAUAUCCCACGAAGGCAUCGGAAUGGGAUUAAAGAUUUAUCGGUGAUGGAUGGGGAUGCGUCUGAUUAGCUUGUUGGCGGGGUAACGGCCCACCAAGGCAACGAUCAGUAGGGGUUCUGAGAGGAAGGUCCCCCACAUUGGAACUGAGACACGGUCCAAACUCCUACGGGAGGCAGCAGUGAGGGAUAUUGGUCAAUGGGCGAGAGCCUGAACCAGCCAAGUAGCGUGCAGGAAGACGGCCCUAUGGGUUGUAAACUGCUUUUAUAAGGGAAUAAAGUGGGUCACGUGUGACUUUUUGCAUGUACCUUAUGAAUAAGGACCGGCUAAUUCCGUG
rnacentral:rRNA from 1 species